UACGUAGGUGGCGAGCGUUAUCCGGAUUUAUUGGGCGUAAAGCGUGCGCAGACGGCUUAUUAAGUCUAAAAUUAAAGCCCGGAGCUUAACUCCGGUUCGUUUUAGAAACUGGUUGGCUUGAGUAUGGUAGAGGCAAACGGAAUUUCUAGUGUAGCGGUAGAAUGCGUAGAUAUUAGAAGGAACACCAGUGGCGAAGGCGGUUUGCUGGGCCAUUACUGACGUUCAUGCACGAAAGCGUGGGGAGCAAAUA
rnacentral:rRNA from 1 species